rnacentral:misc_RNA from 1 species
AAAAAAAAAACAUGCAAGCGCAUGGGCAUGCACACAAAGUGGGGGCACAAACAAACAUAAAGAAUUAUAAAAAUGAAUUAACAGAACCAAUAAUUUAUAAAAUGAAUUAUAACCACAUAGUCGCUACAUCAGUAUCAUAAAUAUCAAAUAAAAAACCCAGGUCAAACAAUUAAACAUCUGAUUUUUCUCAUAAGUUUAGACACCCAACAUAUAAAUUUCGCAUUGCUUUCCCUUGUUUUCUUCCACUAAAACUAUACAAUCACAAAUACGUUGUGCAAGACACGGAUAGCAUCUAAAGAAUCCAAGUGACAAUGCUAAAAGUAACACUUACACCACUAAAA